GAUGAACGCUGGCGGCGUGCCUAAUACAUGCAAGUCGAGCGAAUGGAUUAAGAGCUUGCUCUUAUGAAGUUAGCGGCGGACGGGUGAGUAACACGUGGGUAACCUGCCCAUAAGACUGGGAUAACUCCGGGAAACCGGGGCUAAUACCGAAUAACAUUUUGAACCGCAUGGUUCGAAAUUGAAAGGCGGCUUCGGCUGUCACUUAUGGAUGGACCCGCGUCGCAUUCGCUAGUUGGUGAGGUAACGGCUCACCAAGGCAACGAUGCGUAGCCGACCGGAGAGGGUGGUCGGCCACACUGGGACUGAGACACGGCCCAGACUACUACGGGAGGCAGCAGUAGGGAAUCUUCCGCAAUGGACGAAAGUCUGACGGAGCAACGCCGCGUGAGUGAUGAAGGCUUUCGGGUCGUAAAACUCUGUUGUUAGGGAAGAACAAGUGCUAGUGGAAUAAGCUGGCACCUUGACGGUACCUAACCAGAAAGCCACGGCUAACUACGUGCCAGCAGCCGCCGUAA
rnacentral:rRNA from 1 species